rnacentral:rRNA from 1 species
GACGAACGCUGGCGGCAGGCCUAACACAUGCAAGUCGAACGAACCUUUCGGGGUUAGUGGCGGACGGGUGAGUAACACGUGGGAACGUGCCUUUAGGUUCGGAAUAACUCAGGGAAACUUGUGCUAAUACCGAAUGUGCCCUUCGGGGGAAAGAUUUAUCGCCUUUAGAGCGGCCCGCGUCUGAUUAGCUAGUUGGUUGAGGUAAUGGCUCACCAAGGCGACGAUCAGUAGCUGGUCUGAGAGGAUGAUCAGCCACAUUGGGACUGAGACACGGCCCAAACUCCUACGGGAGGCAGCAGUGGGGAAUCUUGCGCAAUGGGCGAAAGCCUGACGCAGCCAUGCCGCGUGAAUGAUGAAGGUCUUAGGAUUGUAAAAUUCUUUCACCGGGGACGAUAAUGACGGUACCCGGAGAAGAAGCCCCGGCUAACUUCGUG